GAAAGAACGUUAAAGAAGACAUUCGCUAAAAGGAAACUGUUUACUAGUUUUUGCUCUUCUAUCUUUCUGUUCAAGCUGUCUCUCUUUUCUGUUUGUUUUAUUUUACGUUGCCUGUCUGCACGAAGCUAACAUUUUUAGUGCACGUGCUCCUGAAACUAAAGUCCCGAAGUUUUUCUUCCCUGCGGUUGGAUAAAAAGAAAUCAUGCCAACGUGCGCAUAUCCCGAUGGGCAUGCGCAGCGGUACGAGGAUCUCAUGUUAAUGCAGAAGUGGGAACAUCCUCCAUUGUCCUUAGUACACACGUUUCUAUCUGCUGAGGUAAAAAAGAAAUUGACAGAACAUUAGAACAAGCGAUAAUUAUCAGUAGCUAGGUACGUGCGGGCACGUACGUCAAGCCCACAAGUAGAUUGGGAAAUUGUCCGACACAGCCGCACACAGAUGACGACGUCGCCGAUUACGCCGUGGGAAACCCUAAGCGAUAACUAACUUUUAUGGCAAAGUUGUAAUAAAUUUGUAGAAAAGAAAAAGUUUUCGAGAUUGAUAUCUUACUUGCCUUGUGCUGUUUUAAAGGCAUCUAAAUUAGUAGGUUACUUCAGCAUGAGCCGUAGCGCUCUUUUCUUUUUCUAUUUAUGGCGGUCGAGACUAUUUUCAUGUAAAUUUAAUCCGUCAGUCUAACGUAAAUUUCUUUUUAGAAAUUUUAAUCAUUUUUUGUUUGUCUCGGGCAAGAGUCGUUCCUCACAAUAUUUUUGGGAAAGAUUCGAUAUUGGUUGGACCUUUUACGAAAAACUUAGUCGCAACAUAAAAGAUAUCAAUGGGAUAAAGGGAAAAGGUUAAGAACAAUUGUUUUCAAAUAAAAUCAAAUAAGUUGCUGCUGAGUGAAAGCGUUUGUAACGAUGAUCCGAAUUUCAAUUUUUUUUUCUUGGGGAAAAAGGGAUUCCAGACAGUUCUGAGCUACCGUAAUCGCGCUUAGGAUUAGGAAUGGUUCUUGCGCAUGUUAAAGCUAAGGUCGGAGCUAUGUUUAGUCUGCAGAGCUUUAUUGUAGAUGCUGCGAGAAAACUCUUAACAAAGACAUUGUAAAGUUCAGUGAAACUCACCAAUAUUUAAUGUUAUUACAUUAAACCUUAAUAACACGCUUUCGUCGAAUUAUGUAUUUCAGCUACUAGAUAUCAGACUGUAUGAUAUGUUGUGUCUUGGAUUGUUAACAACAAUUUGCAGUAAAUGAUUGUCUCCCUUUUUUUCCUAUUGCGGGUUUUCUUGUUGGCUUGUGUGUAGGCUUGCAGCAAAAGCCUGGAGACCAGAUACAAGAGCUUGUGCUCUCUUGUUAAAUGGAUGAAAAUUUUCGUCUUCGUUGUUGCAAUAUAUGUUAAAAUAUAAAUAACAAAAUAGUUGAACUAUCCUAAGAAGAUUACUUAACAUAACUGUGUGAUGCUUUGUUUGCAUAAGCAAUAAACGAUAAUACUGUC